rnacentral:rRNA from 1 species
AUGGGGUCGGUCGUGGAUUUUGUGGAGAUCAGCUCCGACGAGGAGGACGUUCCCAUGCCCAGGAAGCCAGUUGACGACUGGGUUGGGAAGCUUUUGAAUGAUGAUGGGCCAAAUGGGGACGAUUUCUUUGAUCUCGUGGUGAUGGGUGAGUUCUCGCCGCCACAGAAGAAGGCCAACCCUGGUGGUGGUGAUGAUGAGGAUGACGAUGAUUGUGUGGUUCUAGAUGGUGACCCUGAGAAGGCAAUUACCAUCGGGGAGGACAAGGGGAGUGUGGGAGAUAGCAGCUCCGAUGAAUUGCAGAUAGUCGGGGAGAAAGGACCGGUAGCGUGCAGGGACUUCCCUCAUUCACGCCAUCUAUGUUCUAACUUGCCCUUCAGCGCUACUUCUCACGUGAAGCAUUGUAGCAUGUGUCACUGUUUUGUAUGCGAUGCCCCAGCUCCAUGUAAUUAUUGGGGUAAAGGUAUCCAGCUUAAUGAUCAUUGUCAUGCUACGGAUAAGGAAUCAAAGUGGAAACAGCUGCGGCAAGCAUUCAAGUCUAAAAGUCUUCCAGCAUCUCGUCCAGAACAAUGCCAGAAUGUCAUCUACCCAACAAUGGCACCAUCCAUUAAGAAGGAUAUACAGUGUCAAGUCUCGUCUUUUGCAAACAGAAGUCCUCUUCUGCAUGUUAUGAGCCAAAACAAACAAAGACACACUUCAGUUAGAGUCUCACUGAAUGUAGGACGGACUAUCAGUACACCAAGAGCAUCCCUUGCGACAAAAGCGGGGAGAAGUACAAACAAUGUCCACACUGCUCAAAACAUUCAUUCACGUGGAAACUUCAAAAGAGUAGGGACAGCUUCUCCAGGUCACACAAUCCGAAAUGCUGACCAAUUUGGUUCUAGUGCUCCAAUCAGUACCCCGUCCCUUAUGAACAAUGCAUUGCCACAUGUAUCACAGCCAGUUCAAGCUAUACCAGGAACUAAUACUACCCAUGUAUCUCAGCAAGUUCAACCUAUACAAAGAACCAAUCCUUUCAGUGGUACUGUCAAGAAAAGUGCCCCUCAGAGAUCUCUCAGUGCGCCAAUAGCAUCUCAGGGGCAACAAGGUCAGCUGCCACCAUCUUCACAGGCUGCCUCAAAUGUAGUGCAUGGCGUAGGAUCUCAACUUUCCCGGUGCACCUCGCUUAUGAAUGAGAGCAGACAAUUCCUGCCAGAACCAGUAAUCGAUGUUUCCACACAAAGCUGGCAAGACAUACUUGCUAGUGUGGCAUCGGAUCUGGGAGUAUUAGACGAUUCUGCUUACAGUACCAGUACUUCACGGUCCCAGCAGCCUGUGAGGACUUCCCCCCAACCUCUGGAUGCCGGUGCAAACCAAGGGGAGGAGGGCCUUCACACCAAGUCUGUUGCGUCAGCCGUAAACCUGAUGACUUCUAGUGGGCAUGGCUUGCCCAUUCAUACAACAGGUGGUGGUACCCAGACAAAUGCUCCUAAGCAAACUUUGCAUCCUCUGAAUUAUGGUGGCAAUCUUAGUCCAGAUGAAGCUCAUCUUGAUGGUUUUCUAAGCCCCCCUGCAGAUGAAUUAUUGUUAGAAGCUGCUCAUCAGAGGGACUCUUCCGGAUUGGAUUCUACAGGCCUUAUAUUUGACUUUGAACUCGACGACUGGGCUUAA